UCGUCAGGUUCUUCUCCCUUCUUGUUGCUAGUCUUGCAUCAAGUGUUUUAUGCCUUUCUUUUGAAACAUACUUUUGUUUUUGUUGUUUCUUGUUGCAACUAUUUUUGCUUAAUCGUGUAUAAUCAAUAUUCAGUUUUACUAAAUUUGUGUUUAAUUGACAGUCAAUCAGAUACGGGUUACUUGUCGGUGUCAAUUUAAAUUUGUUGGUAUUGAGUUAAUCAACAUCACCAUCAACACAACCAACGUCAACACUUUGCCCAUUCAAACAAGAAAACAAGUUUUUCUCUUCUCUCUUUUUUCCCUUUCUUUUGGAUCUUUUUCAAAAAUAUUUAGUUUUUAACCAGAAACUUGUGGCAAUCUACCUCUCAUCACAAACAUGGAAGGAAUCGUUAUUGGUGCAAUCAUUGUCGGUGUUUUACUCAUUGUUGGCGGUCUUGUUUGCUGUAUCUUGAAGUGUAUUUGGGAUAUAGCUUGUUGUACCUGUAAAUGCAUAACCUGUGGUCAAUGUGGUGAUUAGAAGACUUGGAGAUCUAUCUUUGUUAACAUUUGAUCGCUUGUUUUAUUUUUUAAUUAAUCUUUUAUCUUUUCCCUACAAAGCUUGUUUGGUAAGCUUUUUAGGCCCAAAAAUAUCAUGUCCACCUAUUCAAAAAAACCAAAACAAUCAGUGAUUCACAAACCAAAGGAUAAUCAUCAUACUCCAAAAUUUUACCUCAUUUUCAAUGAUAUGUAAUUUCAUCUUUUAGUUUCUAGAAUUAUUUUUAACUUUACCAUUUUUUCGACUUUUACAGUCCUUAAAAGACUUGGAAUGAUUAUUUCCUUUGAAUCAAUGAUUUUUACCUUUGCAAACCUUUUUACACUCUUUUAACAUGUCAUGCACAAUUCCUUUUUACGCAAUUGUCCUCUACUUUCCUAUUAUACACAAAUAACAUCGAGUUCCGAUCCGAAAUGCCAAAAAUGGAAAAAGUUCCUUGGUCAUCGAUGCCUUAAGACUUUUAAUAUUAUUACCAAUAAACAAGAAAUGCCUUAUUAAUAAAUAAACAAAAAUGA